AAUCAACUUAUGCAAACUCCUUCUAAAAUCACAAGAUCGAAUUCUAAAAUCACGUUUCGUAAAUAUUUCUCCUUAAGAUGGAAUCUUUCCACAAGAAUGCUCGUUAUGCUAAUCAAUGUAUGCAAACUCCUUCUAACCACUCAGUCACAGACGAUUUUAUUAUACACUGCAAAAAUGCACUCUACUGCUUUGAGCAGUAGAAGAGAAGAGAAGAAGCCGUGGAGGGGUCCAUUUUUCUUCACUCCGUUUCACUGUAUGGGCCUUACUGAAAACUUUCAUCUCAAUCAAUCUUUUUCUGAGUCAUUGGUAAAAAUAAACGUCAAUUAUUACUUUUUCGCGAGUUUUGUGCACCAAUAAGAGAAGAGUUUAAAUUUUAUGGAUUCUAACCUUUUAAUAUUUUUGAUUGAACACGUUAUAUUUUUUAAGUUAUGGCUUCAUGUUUAUUUAUUGCAAUUUUAAUAAAUAUUUACAUUUAAAUUUAUGCUACACGUCGAAAGUUAGGGGUUUGAUUGAACCCAUUCUUUAAGUGCAUCCGCCCUGACCCCAACUAUUAGUUGUUCUCUUUUACUACCUGAACUAUCAAUAUUUAUGUAUUAAAAUAUACCUCAAAGCUGACUAGGCCAACUAUGAACUGUUCCCUUUUCCUACAUGAAUUAUCAAUUAGGUGUGUUUUAAUACAUAAAUAAUAAUAGUUCAGCUAUAAAAAGAGAACAACUAAUAGUUGGAGCGUGAAACUCGCAAAAAAAUGACAAUUUUAAUGUGUUUUUGACCAUUAUUUCUCUUUUUUACUCUUCCUUAUAUUUGAAAAACUACUACCACCUGCUUUCUUUAUAUUUCUCUUCAAUUCCUAAUUUGAAUUUCUCUUGCAGCUGAGCUAUGCUAGUUUUUCUGUCAUAAACCCCUCCAAUUUUCAGCUAAUGCAGGAUUGAGUUAGUGUCCCGUAAUUCCCAGCAUCAGGCUUUUAGCAUGGGGAAGUCUCCAGGAAAAUGGAUCAAAACUGUGCUUUUUGGGAAAAAAUCAUCCCAGUCUAACUUGCCAAAGGAAGUCACUGGUGAGAAAGGGUCUGCUGCAAAGGCAUCCUUGGAGGAUCUUGCCCUUAAUCCACCAAUUUAGAAUUUCGAUAGGGGGUCUGAGAACACAGAACUGGAGAAGGGUACAAGCACUGUCAUAUCAUGUGAUAGUGCUGAUUUAUCCUCUGUGACACAAGAUGUAGAGUCACAAGUUACAAAGGUAGCGAUUUCAGCUGAUGAUGCCGAGUUAAAAAGGCUAGAGCAAGCUGCAACCAAAGCGCAAACAACUUUUAGGGGUUACUUGGCUCGUCGGGCAUUUUUAGCACUUAAAGGCAUUAUAAAGCUCUAGGCACUUAUUCGCGGGCACUUGGUAAGAAGGCAGACAGUUGCUACUCUACACUGCAUGCAAGCAAUUGGUAGGGUUCAGGCAUUAGCUCGUGGCCAAAAAACUCGACUUUUGGAUCCAGCCCAUCACGUCCUUAAGUACACUUCUGGAGGAUUUAAGGUAAGUCUUGUGAUAAAGUGUCUUAUUUCAAGGCUUUUGUGUCCAUCUCUUUCCACUGUUCCCAUUGCUGUUGCUUUGUUCAUCUCAGCUCUUUUCUCUCCCUUGUUUUGUAAAGCAUUGAUAUAAGCAUGGGACUGACUCGAUCUUACCAAAGGUUAAGGUGUUCAAAUAUAAAUUUAUGCUUUCAUUUUUGAAAACCUUUCGGAGGAACGAUUGACAGUGCCAAAGUUUCUAAUAGUAUGUCAAUCACUUAGAUGAUAUAAAAUGAGAAGUGUCAUAUAAAGUUGGAUUAUGCGUUUAUCUGCAGUUGCCUUUGAAUACGUUAUUACAUGUGAUAUAAUUGGUUUGUUCGACUGACCUUGCACUCUGUUUGACCAAGAUGCUAAGCAGGUGGACCUAAGCAUUGUAAACAAGUCUGUUAGGCCAGAAAAGCUAACAGCUAGUGCGUUUGUUUGCAAGGUAUUGUUGACCUUUUCUCCCUCAGAUGAAACAAAACAGAAAGAAUUCCUCUGCAUAAUCUCCAAGUUCCCAAGUAAUCCUGAAUUCCUCUGCAUAAUCUCCAAGUGCCCAACUUAGCUGUUUAAUGUUGGGAGAACACCUAAUAAAUUUAGACUGCUUUUGGGGUUUUGAAGAUUGAAGUUACAAGUCAAGAUGCAAGUUUAGAAGAUGCACAAGCUCAUUAUUAUUUUGCUAGGAAUGUAAUGCAAAACUUGAUAUCAUAGUCUAGCUCGGGAUGUUGGCAAAGCUUUUUUAUUAAGGUGUUGAGCAAAUAUUGAAACUAAUAUGGGAUGUUAACCAUUUUGUAAAUAAUAACUCUCUAUAUGUAUAUAUAUUUAUAUCUACAAUUCUGUAGCAAUUUGAUAUGUAUUGAUACUA